GAUGAACGCUGGCGGCGUGCCUAAUACAUGCAAGUCGAGCGAACAGACGAGGAGCUUGCUCCUCUGACGUUAGCGGCGGACGGGUGAGUAACACGUGGAUAACCUACCUAUAAGACUGGGAUAACUUCGGGAAACCGGAGCUAAUACCGGAUAAUAUAUUGAACCGCAUGGUUCAAUAGUGAAAGAUGGUUUUGCUGUCACUUAUAGAUGGAUCCGCGCCGCAUUAGCUAGUUGGUAAGGUAACGGCUUACCAAGGCAACGAUGCGUAGCCGACCUGAGAGGGUGAUCGGCCACACUGGAACUGAGACACGGUCCAGACUCCUACGGGAGGCAGCAGUAGGGAAUCUUCCGCAAAGGGCGAAAGCCUGACGGAGCAACGCCGCGUGAAUGAUGAAGGUCUUCGGAUCGUAAAACUCUGUUAUUAGGGAAGAACAAAUGUGUAAGUAACUAUGCACGUCUUGACGGUACCUAAUCAGAAAGCCACGGCUAACUACGUG
rnacentral:rRNA from 1 species